AUCAUUUGUGACCUUAAAUACAGCUGUGGUGGCAGCUGGGUCAUCCCGCUAAUCUUCCUUUUAUAAACUUUUCCAAGUCAAAGAGGUCCACCAGAAUCCUAGGGCUGCUUCCCCAGAACUUAUAUAAAGAAAUGAACCUGAACUCAAGGGGUGGACUGUCGUGGACACCACUGCACUGCCCAGAACCCCAGCUAGGACUGAAAGUCUAAUUUCACCAGCUGCAAGUAGUAUUGAUAACUGAUAGCUCUGACCUCUCACUGACCUCAGGUGAAGAGAGAAACUUUCCCUAGUAAACCCCUUUGGGGCAGUAACCUGCAUUCAACAACUAUUUGCUGAGGAUAUAAAAAUCCAGCCCCCCUUACUCCAAUGCAGGACAACUCUGAAAGAUCAUCUCAGUUCAGAGCUUUCUGUGGGAUGAAAUGAGGCCACUGUUGUGACUGCAGCCAGCCGAAGUUGUCUGCCUGGCCAAUUCUCCUUCCUUCUCUUCUACCAAUGUUAAAAUCGAGAGCCACACUAAUAAGAGUCUACAUUAAUCUCAUUUGCAGAGUUGGCUUCCUGGGAGAACUGACCUGAAACAGGAUUAAGUGAAAUGAUGUUCCUCAAGUGCCUGACAUCCAAAAGGAGCUCAUCACAGGUGGUUGUGGUCUAAUAUAGCUAAGAAAACAUCCAUUUCAAUCAGCAGUAAUACUGAGAGCAAUAAUAACAAUACCUAUUAUAACUAAGUGCUUACCCAACAGUAAACUAAGUGCUUUACAUACAUUAACUCAUCUUAUCCUUUCAACAAGUCCAUUAUAAUCCACAUUUUACAGAAAAGUAAAGGAGGCACAUGGGAGUUAAUUAACUUCUCCAAGUUCACAUGCUUAUCCAUUAUGCUUUACCAGCCUUGGUUUGGAUAUGGCUAUAAAAGAGAUAUAUUUUAAGAGAAGUUUAAGAAUAAUCCUUCUACUUUUUAAGUCUCUUCAGCCUAAAACCUGAAUCUUUUAACAUGGCAAAGAUUUUUUUUGCUUCUGUACUUGAACUUCCCCAAAUUCAUUGAAAAUUUUCAUCUGAAGUUAUUUGGAGAAGGGAAGAGGAGCUAGUCAUUUUAAAGAAGCAAAUUGCAAAUAAUAACUUGUCUGUAAAAUUAAUCCUCCUUAGAGAACAUAUAUGUCAUAGGCAUAAAGUGCUUCUGAGAAACAUAGUUGUCUAGUGACUGGCACUGAACCGAGACCCCAACUUUCAUUAUAGUUUGUCCAAAUUUCAGCUGGCAGAUGUCUGGCCAUCUUGACUGUGCUUGGCUGAAUUUCAGUAAUGCUGAGAGGAUCAAUAUUCCUGCUACUUCACAUAACUCAUUGUACUGGAUUUAGUUGAGACCUGUCAGUCCUGUAUUUUAUGUUGCCAGUAACCAAAUCAAUACAAAAUGAUUCAGCAAGUGUUUAGUGAGUGCCUGCUACAUGCUGGGCAUUGUAGUGGCACUACCACUAGGAACACACAAACAAUACAUUCCUCAAAGAACUUACCAUCCAAGCACAUGGAUUUCAAACUUCAGCUAUUCCUAUACCACCUCCAACAUUUUGGACAUAUUUGCAUGCUAUGCAUACUAUAUUAUUUUAUUGGAGUGUAGUUGACUUACAGUUGUGUACUGUUUUCAAGUAUAUAACAUAGUGUUUCGAUAUUUUUAUAUAUUGCAAAAUGCUCACCACAAUAAAUCUAGUUACCGACACCAUACAAAAUUAUUACAAUAUUAUUGAUUACUCUUUGUGCUGUGGAUCACAUCCCCAAGACUUAUUUAUGCUAUAACCAGAAGUUUUGCACUAUCAUAUUCCUACCAUAUUUUUUAAUCGUCUUCUUUUAUUUAAAUACAUUUACUCAAGAGGGAAAGUGUGUAACACCUCUGAAAAAGAUAGGUGUCUCUUGCUACAAAGAAAGGAUGCCCAUAAAAACAAACAUAACUACUAAUAGGUUUUUUUUUUUUAAGAUUAAAUGUUCAAAAUCUAAAAUCAUUGAUGGGAGUUCCGUUGUUGCUCAGCAGUAAUGAACCCGACUAGGAUCCAUGAGGACACGGGUUCGAUCCCUGGCCUUGCUCAGUGGGUUAAGAUACAGCAUUGCCAUGAGCUGUGGUGUAGGUCACAGACGCAGCUUGGACCUGGCAUUGCUGUGGCUAUGGUAUAGGCCAGCGGCUAUAGCUCUGACUCGACCCCUAGCCUGGGAACCUCCAUGUGCUGCAGGUGCGGCCCUAAAAAAAGACAAACAAAUAAAAAUACAGUCAAAUCAUUGAGAAGUUCACCAGUGAUACAUGUUCCAUGUUUGGGAAUUGCUCUCAUAGAAGGAAACAGAUACCAGGAGUACUGAAGAGAGUGAACUCUUUGGUAGAGUAUAAUGAACUGGUAAAAUUCUCAAGCCAAAUUGAUUUGAUUCAAAUCUUAGUUCUGCCACUUAGCUCCAAUUAGCUAAGGAAGUUGAUUUCAGGAAAGUUACUUAACCUCUCUGAUCCUCAAUUUCCUACCUGUAAAUGGGGAUAAUAGAGUAUUUACCUCAUUGGGUUGUUAUCAGGAUUAAAUGAGUUAAACCUCUUAGAACUGUGGCCUACAUGUUACUAUUGCAGCAUGCCUGGUUACGGAAGGAGGGUGUAUGCAGGUAAUUCUCAAUUCUAUUAGGGGACUUAGGGAAGCUUUCACAGAAGAGACGCUCAUGCACACGCCUGAUGAGUAGGUAUUUAUUACGCAAAUAGAAAAGAAAAUGUUGCUUAUUCAAGCAAAGAACCUAAGCUAAAAUAACCUCAUUUUUUUCUCAUCUCUAAUGAACUAAUCUGUAGCAGACACCUUUUAUUUCUUGCCUCCCUCCCUUGCUUUGGUGACAUCAUUUUAUUCUUUCUUUGCAAAACUACCCUUUUCCCACUCUUGGUAUAUGUUAUCUAGGGUAGGACUGAUUCUUUCCCAGCUCUGGGAGUGGGUAUGUGAGUCAGAUCUGCCUAACCAUCCAUCCACCGGGCCACAGAAAUCAGUGUGGUUCAAAUAAAAAAACUGGGGUGAGUCUCAGGACAUUGCGUGGAGCCACUGGAAAGAAGAGUAUAUGGUUUCUUGGGGAUACUCUAAGAUAACACCACAAACUGAGUAGCUUUAAAAACAGAGAUAUAUUAUCUCAGUUCUGGAGGCUAGAUGUCAAAAAUCACGUUGUCAGCAGGGCCAUACUCUCUGGCAAAGUGCUAGGGAAGAAUCUGUGCCAGAUAGUUUCUUGGCUUACGGCAACAAAACUCAGUUUACGUGGCAUUCUCCCCAUGUGCAAAUCUGUGUCUAAAUUAUCCCUUUUUAUAAAGAUACCAGUUGUAUUAAAUUGGGGACCCUGCCUACUUUGGUAUGACCUUGCCUUAACUACUUACACUUACAGUGAUUCUAUUUCCAGAUAAAGUAACAUUUUGAAGUGCUGAGGGUUAAGACUUCAACCUAUGAAUUUGGAGGGGAACAUUUCAACUCAUAACAGAGAAGGUCUAAUUCUCCUGAAUGUAAAGUUGAUAAUAGUUAAAUGUGAUGUUUCUGGGCUUUCUAUAUGGGGAAGAAAUACCCUUCCUGGGAAUGGAGCCACUUCAGAAUAAAGAAGUGUUGAGAAACAGAAAUACAAGUUCCCAGUGUCAUCACUUGAGCACCUGGAUCCAUCCAUGCCUGAAGGUUGUAUCUCUGAAAUUUUCAGGCACAUGAGGGAAUAAUGCCCCCAUUUUUUUUUAAGCUAAGACUAGUGUGAGUUGUGUUUUAUCACAUUAAAUCAAAAUACUCCUUAGUAAAAUAAAACUUUACUAGUUAGAUUGUUUUUUAAAGUUUUGUAAAUAAAUUCCGUGUUCCAUAAGGAAAGAAGAUGGGCUUGUUAGAGAAAUAAGAACUUCAAAACAUGUUUAAGCCAGUUUUAAAGAGCCACCCUCUCCCCUUUCGGUGGAUGCUUUUAUAUCUUGUGUCGUAACUGUUAGUAGUUUGUGACAUUUCUGGUCUGUCCUGGGUGUUACUAGUACCUGACAGGUCAGGCCUGUCACCUCCAUAAAAGCAGUGAGCAUCCAUACCAGGCACUCUAUAGUGUGGAGUCCCUUUGAGAAUUACUAAUGUCACACUAAAUCUCAUCAGCUCUAUUUAUUCUCUCUUCAUCUUUGCCAUUUGAGGCUCUUCAAAAAAAAAGUCUGAUUAUUUUUACAUGAAGAUAGCUUCUCCUUGCUCCUACGAUUUUAAAACUGUAAACCAAAGCUUAAUUCUGGGGGGGGUUAAUUUGUCCUUAUGGCAAGUGUAAUUAAGACGUAAAUCUCUAGGGAGGAAUACCUGGAAAUUAAGGUUAUUGUUGACAUUAUUAUUAAUUAAUAAUUAUCAAAUACUCACUUUAAAAAAAGGAUUAGCCUUUAGAUUUUGAUGGUCUCCAUUAUACUCAUUAGCUAAUGUUGAAAUAAAGAUGAAUGAAUCUUCAAACAGAUGAAUUAAUGAUUAAGGCAGUCCAGAAGAAUUCAACCUAGAUUCUGUAUCCAGCAGGUUUCCGUGUCAGCCCGUAGCACUCUCUAAGCUGGCUAGAUUUUGACUAAGUGUUCAAAUGAGAUUAACUCAUAGAGCAGCAAUUUUGUCAGGAGAUAAAGUCUGAUAAAUAAAGAUGGAAAAAGACAAAGCCAAAUUAAAUCCUUCCAGCAGUAUCCCAUUGAGGGUACCUGGAAGGUGGUAUCAAAAUGCUACCCCUAAUGAAGUUUCAGAAACACUCUUUGCUGAUUUUAUCACACACAGGAGACUUUUCUAGGGAAGCAUCUAAUGAUACAGAUAAGAUCUAUGUACAUGAAUCAAUGAGGAACCUAGACCCUCGGUUUAGAUUUGGUAUGACAGUAUUGUGUGUUAAAUAAAUACCAAUAAAUUAUUAAAACAUAUUGGUUGUAUCGUAACACAGAGGCUUAACAAUGUAUUAUGUCAGCAUGUACAGCUCUCGCUCAGGGAAAUUCUCCAUCUCUUUAAUUCAAGCAUUGACAUCCUGUGCCAGCACAAAGCCUUUUUUAUUUGAGAUUGACACAUGUCUAAAAUUGCUUAGAUUUUGUGUUGUGCUCUUAAUACUUGAAACCCUGCAAAUGAAAUUCUAUGCCACUGUGCAUGAACAA
rnacentral:lncRNA from 1 species